rnacentral:rRNA from 1 species
AUUGAACGCUGGCGGCAGGCCUAACACAUGCAAGUCGAGCGGGGUUUUCGGACCUAGCGGCGGACGGGUGAGUAAUGCGUAGGAAGCUACCCGAUAGAGGGGGAUACCAGUUGGAAACGACUGUUAAUAUCGCAUAAUGUCUACGGACCAAAGUGUGGGACCUUCAGGCCACAUGCUAUCGGAUGCGCCUACGUGGGAUUAGCUAGUUGGUGGGGUAAUGGCUCACCAAGGCGACGAUCCCUAGCUGGUUUGAGAGGAUGAUCAGCCACACUGGAACUGAGACACGGUCCAGACUCCUACGGGAGGCAGCAGUGGGGAAUAUUGGACAAUGGGCGCAAGCCUGAUCCAGCCAUGCCGCGUGUGUGAAGAAGGCCUUCGGGUUGUAAAGCACUUUCAGUAGGGAGGAAGGGUGUUGUGUUAAUAGCACAGCAUUUUGACGUUACCUACAGAAGAAGCACCGGCUAACUCUGUGCCAGCCGCCGCGGUAAAAC